rnacentral:lncRNA from 1 species
UUGCCAAGAAGCUAGAAAGAAUUAGAAGACAGAUGAGUCAGAACGGAAGAGACGGGGUUUUGCCAUGUUUCCCAGGCUGGUCUUGAACUCCUGGGCUCAAGUGAUCCGUCAGCCUCAGCCUCCCAAAGUGCUGAAAUUACAGGCAUGAGCCACCCUCACCUGGCCUGAGUGCUGAAAAACAGAAAAGCCUCAGAGGCCAAAGGUGAAGCACUGGAUGGAAGUUGACCUCCAAGCAGGGAGCAGGCAACUCAGCACCAGCCUAGGCUCCACGUGGGGUUGAGAGAGGGGAAAGGCCACCGACAGUCCCUGCUCCAUGGGGAAGGCAGCCUCUGACUGUGGCUGAUGGGCUGGCAGUCGGAUAAGGAUUGGCUGGCAGGAAUGGGCAUCCAGCUGCCUCUGCUGCUCCUGUGAGCUGGGAAUGAUGGUGCCAGUCAGGUCUGCAUGGCCAUCAAUAGGCCAGGUGGCCGGGUAGGGGUCUCUCAGCUCCAGUGGCUGAAACACACAACAGAAUCAUCAAACCUAGUCUGAGAUAGUCAUGAAAGAGAUUUAGAAAAAGACAUAGUGAUUUUGUUCCCCAUUUGCUUUUUCUAAAAACACUCCUCUCUAAUAAAAUGUAUGACAGCAA